UAGAUGACUUCUCAAGGUCCCUUCUAGCCCUACAUCUCUAUGGUUCUAACAUAUUAUGUCCCCAUGUGACAAGGUGCUAGGCAGGAACUCCUAAAACAGCCCUCUGUCACGCCAGCUCCAAUUAAGGGAGGUAAAUUGGAGCUGGCUAGAGAAACCUGCACCAGACUGGCAAAUGGGAACAGCUGCCAGCCUAAUUAGUCUGGGGAUACAUAUAGGCCCAGAGCCUGGCCGGGGGAUGGGGCUGGCUGCUGGAGCCAGCUGCUGGAGCCAGGGCUGCAUACGCAACAUGUAGCUGCCUAGGGCGCCACAAAAUUUGGUGCCUCAAAUUACGUGGUGUCCUAUGCAGCUGCGUAUUCUGCGUAUGCCUAAGGAUGGCCCUGACUAAACUACACUAAGGGAACUAAGAACUAACAAGUUUCUAACAAGUAUUUACAACAAAGUUCACAACUAGCAGUUGAGAAGAAGUAAGCUUGCCAAGGCAACGAGACGUUCCAGCACCAUCACUGGCGAUAUUUAUUGCCAUCAUCAUAAUACUGCCAAACUCUAGGAUUUUUUCACUACCUCAAUCCACACAGCUUCAUGGACUGACUCGUGAGUUGUGCAUGUCUCUACAGCAGCAGCAGCAGCAGCAGCAGGGGUAUUGCUGUACAAAAGGAAGCACCAAGAGCCAAGAUUAUGUCUUCAGCAUUUUACAGGCUCACGCAGUGCAUCUAUAUCUUCUGUAAAUAACCUCAGUUUUCACAUGGAUUAUUUAGAAUUUCUGAUGAAACUGCAGAAAUGUCAAUGCAGAAUGCGAGCGACCAAUCAGGGAGCAGCUUUCUGACCUUUGCCCUUCUCUUCUUCAGCACGACUGCUAUUAUCUUCAAGAGGAAAAAAACCCUCCUUGUCUCUUGUUAUACCUUUUUAUGAUCUAGGAUUCUUUUAAUAAUGACUCCAUGUUACAUAAAACAGCUACAUUAAUGUCACCAAGUCCCAAAAGUACUGAAUCAACCCGACUCCUUCAGAAAGGAAGAAAGUAACAGAUACACGGAAGGAAAAGCCUUAAUAAAGGCUCGAUCCUAAAGAAGAGAAGAACUCCACCAGACCGCUUUUUACUUCCUAUUUGAAAUGGGAUAUUUAAAGGGCCAUGUGGCCAAAGAAGAUCAGAGUCUUCGCAAGAUAACGGUGUACGACUGAAUACGCCAUCAAAGUGAACAAAUCAAAUGUGUGAUUUUAGCUGGUGCUGUAAAGAGCUGCUCACCCUCUUACACUUGCAUGCUCCGGUCCCAGCUGCUAAUGGGGAAAGGAGAGGGGGAGGCUGGGUGGCUCAGUAAGCAGGCAUUCACCUUUCAUCUCUGCAGUGUGAAUGCUGGGUCAAACCAGCAUCUUCAGUUAAAUGAAUUGUUUGGUCUCAGUUUAGUGAAAAAAGUAACUCAACUUUCAGCCUUGUGCAUCUUGCCACAACUGUUUCUGGUUCUAUCCAGUUGGGAGAAAAAGCAAAGCCCAAUAUAUUGGUAGCACAACACAAAUUAAUAAUAAAAUAAUAAUAAU